UCAUGAUAGAAAUACAUCACAAGUAUGACUAUACACUCAUAUAAUCAAUAUGUAAUCCAAUAAACCUAUAUCAGUAGUUGCAGCUAAGCUUAUGGAAACGCAAGAAACCGCAGUAUCAACUGUAGAAAAAAGCAAGAGAACGCAGAAGGCUUAAAAAAACCACACUUACUCACUCAGCAGAAAACAUUAAUCAAAUACUAACCAUACACUUAUAUUUUCAAACUGAUCAACUGUGCUAGAAGACUAAUAUUUUACAGUGACCCCUAUGUAACUUGUAUGCUUAAUGGAAAAUUACAGGAGGCUGUGACUUGUAUGCUUAAUGGAAAAUUACAGGAGGCUGUGACUUGUAUGCAUAAUGGAAAAUUACAGAAUAAAGACUAAUAUUUUUUAAGGGAAAGUUGGGGUAACAUUCCACAAUAACGUUAUCACCUAAGAACAGAAAAUCAUUGUGGUGCCAAGAAGGACAGAUGGCUGGUAUUUUUAGAAAUGUGUUAAGGGGAGUUGUGGGGUACAUUUGUGUAUAAAAUGAAUGUAAAACUGACAAUCGAGGUUCAAUUCGGCGGAAUUGAUCCGGCUUUAUGCACCUGUGCAAAUAGAGUCUAACUUUUCUGAA